CGUGUAGGCGGAGAUGCAAGUUGGGAGUGAAAUCCAUGGGCUCAACCCAUGAACUGCUUUCAAAACUGUAUCCCUUGAGUAUCGGAGAGGCAAGCGGAAUUCCUAGUGUAGCGGUGAAAUGCGUAGAUAUCGGGAGGAACACCAGUGGCGAAGGCGGCCCUCUGGACUGGUACUGACGCUGAGCGCGAAAGCUGGGGAGCAACG
rnacentral:rRNA from 1 species